AGUUUAAUUUAGUCAUCAUAAUUUAUGCUUUUAAAAAAUACAGGCCUCUUUCUCUCUCUCUCUCUCUCUCUCUCUCUCUCUCUCUCUCUCUCUCUCUCUCUCUCUCUCUCUCUCUUUCUCUCUCUCUCCUUUUGUUCCCUUCCCCAGGAAGGGGAAGCGGGCCACUGUGCCACUGCAGCUCUUUAAUAAAGAUCUUUCCCACCAGCUCUGUUGGUGUGCACCGCGAUCCGCGCAGGCGCUGGUUUCUCUCAUUAGUGCCAUGACUCAGACCAGGUGCUACCUGGCUCCCGGCGUUAAUGCUGUGGGCUUGGGGACCCCGAGCCUUGGCGCCACCAUCCCCCUCUCCGCAACUCAUGUCCGUUUACCCAGACUCCUUUACGUACCCACCACCAGCCUCAUGGAUAGUGUCAACGUCCAUGCAGAGAUUGAAGAGUUGAGUCACAGGCUAAAGAGGACCUUAUGUAAGAAACAAAUCAAG
rnacentral:lncRNA from 1 species